GCUGGCUUAGCACAGUGGUAGUGCGCCUGACUACGACGUGUAUAUGCUUUUCUCGUUAAUCAGGAGGUCGAGGGUUCGAACCCCUUAGUCGGUU